UAGUCGCAAGACCAAANAGGGGGACCUUCGGGCCUCUUGCCAUCGGAUGUGCCCAGAUGGGAUUAGCUGUUGGUGGGGGUAACGGGCUCACCAAGGCGACGAUCCCUAGCUGGUCUGAGAGGAUGACCAGCCACACUGGAACUGAGACACGGUCCAGACUCCUACGGGAGGCAGCAUG
rnacentral:rRNA from 1 species